GACGAACGCUGGCGGCGUGCUAGUACAUGCAAGUAGAACGCACAGUUUAUACCGUAGCUUGCUACACCAUAGACUGUGAGUUGCGAACGGGUGAGUAACGCGUAGGUAACCUGCCUGGUAGCGGGGGAUAACUAUCGGAAACGAUAGCUAAUACCGCAUAAUAUUAAUUAUUGCAUGAUAAUUAAUUGAAAGGUGCAAUUGCACCACUACCAGAUGGACCUGCGUUGUAUUAGCUAGUAGGUGAGGUAACGGCUCACCUAGGCGACGAUACAUAGCCGACCUGAGAGGGUGAUCGGCCACACUGGGACUGAGACACGGCCCAGACUCCUACGGGAGGCAGCGGUAGGGAAUCUUCGGCAAUGGACGAAAGUCUGACCGAGCAGCGCCGCGUGAGUGAAGAAGGUUUUCGGAUCGUAAAGCUCUGUUGUAAGAGAAGAACAGGUGUGAGAGUGGAAAGUUCACACUGUGACGGUAUCUUACCAGAAAGGGACGGCUAACUACGUGC
rnacentral:rRNA from 1 species